rnacentral:rRNA from 1 species
UACAGAGAGUGCAAGCGUUAAUCGGAAUUACUGGGCGUAAAGCGCACGUAGGUGGAUAUUUAAGUCGAAUGUGAAAGCCCCGGGCUUAACCUGGGAAUGGCAUCCGAUACUGGGUAUCUAGAGUAUGGUAGAGGGAAGUGGAAUUUCCGGUGUAGCGGUGAAAUGCGUAGAUAUCGGAAAGAACACCAGUGGCGAAGGCGGCUUCCUGGACUAAUACUGACACUGAGGUGCGAAAGCGUGGGGAGCAAAC